rnacentral:rRNA from 1 species
AUUGAACGCUGGCGGCAGGCCUAACACAUGCAAGUCGAACGAGUGGCGGACGGGUGAGUAAUGUAUGGGAAACUGCCUGAUGGAGGGGGAUAACUACUGGAAACGGUAGCUAAUACCGCAUACCAUCGGAUGUGCCCAUAUGGGAUUAGCUAGUAGGUGGGGUAAAGGCUCACCUAGGCGACGAUCCCUAGCUGGUCUGAGAGGAUGACCAGCAACACGGGAACUGAGACACGGGCCAGAGUCGUACGGGAGGCAGCAGUGGGGAAUAUUGCAAAAUGGGCGCAAGCCUGAUGAAGCCAUGCCGCGUGUAUGAAGAAGGCCUUCGGGUUGUAAAGUACUUUCAGCGGGGAGGCGUUACCCGCAGAAGAAGCACCGGCUAACUCCGUGCCAGCAGCCGCGGUAAUAC